rnacentral:rRNA from 1 species
UGGGGAAUAUUGCACAAUGGGCGCAAGCCUGAUGCAGCCAUGCCGCGUGUGUGAAGAAGGCCUUCGGGUUGUAAAGCACUUUCAGCGGGGAGGAAGGCGGUGAGGUUAAUAACCUCAUCGAUUGACGUUACCCGCAGAAGAAGCACCGGCUAACUCCGUGCCAGCAGCCGCGGUAAUACGGAGGGUGCAAGCGUUAAUCGGAAUUACUGGGCGUAAAGCGCACGCAGGCGGUCUGUCAAGUCGGAUGUGAAAUCCCCGGGCUCAACCUGGGAACUGCAUUCGAAACUGGAAGGCUAGAGUCUUGUAGAGGGGGGUAGAAUUCCAGGUGUAGCGGUGAAAUGCGUAGAGAUCUGGAGGAAUACCGGUGGCGAAGGCGGCCCCCUGGACAAAGACUGACGCUCAGGUGCGAAAGCGUGGGGAGCAAACAGG